rnacentral:rRNA from 1 species
CGGGGGACACACGACGGACAGGAAGUUUCGGACAGACUGGAAGAUGUAUGUUCUAGCGGCGGACGGGUGAGUAACGCGUGAGCAACCUGUCUUCACAGGGGGAUAACACAGCGAAAGUUGUACUAAUACCGCAUAAGACCACGGCGAGACAUCUCGCAGGGGUCAAAGGAGCAAUCCGGUGAAGGGUGGGCUCGCGUCCGAUUAGAUAGUUGGUGAGGUAACGGCCCACCAACGUCGACGAUCGGUAGCCGACCUGAGAGGGUGAUCGGCCACAUUGGGACUGAGACACGGCCCAAACUCCUACGGGAGGCAGCAGUGGGGAAUAUUGGGCAAUGGACGAAAGUCUGAACCCCCAGCGACGCCGCGUGAGGGAAGAAGGUCUUCGGAUUGUAAACCUUAGUCAACAGGGACGAAGCAAGUGACGGUACCUGUGGAGGAAGCCACGGCUAACUACGUGCCAGCAGCCGC